GCGGAGGUUGCCAAGCCAGGUCAAAGGCGCAGGCCUGAGGCGCCUGUCUCGCAGGGGUUCGAGGGUUCAAAUCCCUCCCUCCGCACCA
rnacentral:tRNA from 1 species